UACGAAGGGGGCUAGCGUUGUUCGGAAUUACUGGGCGUAAAGCGCACGUAGGCGGAUUGUUAAGUUAGGGGUGAAAUCCCGGGGCUCAACCCCGGAACUGCCUUUAAUACUGGCAAUCUCGAGUCCGAGAGAGGUGAGUGGAAUUCCGAGUGUAGAGGUGAAAUUCGUAGAUAUUCGGAGGAACACCAGUGGCGAAGGCGGCUCACUGGCUCGGUACUGACGCUGAGGUGCGAAAGCGUGGGGAGCAAACAGG
rnacentral:rRNA from 2 species